rnacentral:tRNA from 1 species
GGUAAUUUAGUGGAUAAAAUUUUUGCCUUCUAAGCAAAAAAUCGUAGGUUCAAAUCCUACUCG